rnacentral:rRNA from 1 species
CCUACGGGCGGCAGCAGUGAGGAAUAUUGGUCAAUGGCCGAGAGGCUGAACCAGCCAAGUCGCGUGAGGGAAGACGGCCCUACGGGUUGUAAACCUCUUUUGUCGGGGAGCAAAGAGAGUCACGUGUGACUUAUUGAGAGUACUCGAAGAAAAAGCAUCGGCUAACUCCGUGCCAGCAGCCGCGGUAAUACGGAGGAUGCGAGCGUUAUCCGGAUUUAUUGGGUUUAAAGGGUGCGCAGGCGGAGGUGCAAGUCAGCGGUCAAAUUGCGGGGCUCAACCCCGUACUGCCGUUGAAACUGCAUCCCUUGAGUGCGCGAGAAGUAUGCGGAAUGCGUGGUGUAGCGGUGAAAUGCAUAGAUAUUAGGAGGAACACCAGUGGCGAAGGCGGGUUGCUAGACUAUAACUGACACUGAGGCACGAAAGCGUGGGGAGCAAACAGGAUUAGAUACCCCAGUAGUC